rnacentral:sRNA from 1 species
AAUGCAUUUAUUCCACAAGGGUUCGGA